UGAUAAAAUGGUUCCCUCAGCUGAUUCAGCCUGUCCUGGUUUUGGAAGUCAUACUCGUACUGAUGUAAGCUUUUGUGAUCCUUCCCAUACCACCCUUGGAGGGGAGCCACAUUUACUGUGGAGCUCCUCCAGUUUAUGUUUGCAUGAAUUUACUUCAAAUUCCAGCCGCAAAGGAAGGAAGUUUACUAGCAGUACUCAUGAAGAAAGAGCUUCACUGUGUUGAACAUCUUUUGAUUUCUCUCUAAAUUUAGCUCUCUUGAACCCUGUGAACCAGCAGGCCUGAAAGCCACCCAGCAGUGGGGAUAUUACUAGGAAGACCAGAUUGCCAAGAGAGCAAACGAUGGGAUGGCACCAAAAGCAGCUGCCGAGUUUGGAUUCUUCAGACAGGAACAGACUGAUCAGCAGCAAAGCCCAAAGAAAUAUUUGGCUUUGAGUCAUUUUUUUAGCACCACGGGGAACAAAAAAUGGAGGAGGGAGAGCAGUGGCAGAGAGCUGCAGAUGAUUCUGCUGCCUGUUUAAUUUUUUUAUACAGAGCAAUUUAAUUGUGAAGUAGAGGUUUUUCAUGUACAUUACAUAAGAGAGUUCCCAAUAUAGUAAGCACAUAUUGGGUGUUUACUAAAAUCCCGAAGGAUGUCACAUUAGGAAUACUGGUACCUCAAAGACAUUUACCAAGAGCAUCUUUAGCAAUUUAAAUUUACAGAUAUCUAAAAAGGAGAAUUAUUCCUAUGCUAGAUGAAAGCAGGGCCAUGCAAAGACUCGAUCAGCCUAUUUGUUACAGAAAUGUGAGUGAGUAGUUCAAGACAAGACUUCCUAAUUUACACGGGUGACCUUCAACUCUAUGAUUUCUUCAUUCCUUUCAGUUUUUACCUUUGAUGUCUGGUUUGCUUUUUCUAAAGAGAUUCAGGAAAUUAGUGUCACUGUUUGAGGUCUGAAUGCCCUUGUAAAGAAUUAGAAACAGACAAAAGAGAUGUUUUCAAUGUUUUUUUUAACAGCCAUAUAACUUGUUUCAAUGCUUGUAUGACACUAAGCGUGUGCACCAGCAACUUUCCAAUUUUUGCAAGAGCUGGCAGAUAGAAAAGCUUCUUAAUAAAACAGCAACAUAUUUUUCUUUCAGAUUUGCAGUUUCUAAAUGUCACUCUUUUCUUGCUGAUUUAUAAAGAUCUUCUCUUACCAGAUCCAACCAGAGCAAUACAUACACAUGAAAUAUACUGUACUUCAAAAGUAAUGUCUUUUCCCUUGAUAGAAUCAAAAAUUGUGGUGAAACACUGAAAAUUAUGUCUGCUUUACAAAUUUUAUUAAGUAAAUCAAAUGGUUGGAUCUUUCUGAAAGAGAAGUCUUCUAAUUCUAUGCAUAAAGUGGCACAGUGCACUGCAGAGAAAGGAUGCUGAUUUACAGACACUCAAAACCAUACAUUUAAUUUCUGUGAAAGACUGUCUUCUAACUAUGUAAUUCAAUACAUUUGAGUAAAUAAUGUACCUGUGCUAUUUACUGAAAGGUACACUCCAGAAUUACUUCCUGAUAUGUAACUUGAACAAUUUAAUACCUCAAGAAAUUGCAUGAAGUGAAGAAAAACCUAGUCAGAACCAUACUGUAAAUAAGAUUUUAAUUGAAAACAGCCAGGAAAGACAAUCAAACAAAUUUCUCCUGAAGACAGAGACAGUAUUCAGUGGCCACCCUUGGAGAAGUCACUACUUGGGGGACAAAAGUGAAAAUUUAGAAAAACAUAACAUUUUCUCUUUAUUCAGAACAGGAUUCUUAUUUUGGUACAAACUUCAGGGAGUUCUGGAGUUAUCCCAUGCUCCUGGGCUGCAGGUGAGAAAUCUCCAGAGCUGUAUGAGUCACUGUGGUCAGUCAUGCAAUUUGCACUGGGCUCUGUUAUAAAUAACUCCUACUGGCAGCUAAAAUAGCUGCCACUGAUGCUCAGCAGAUUUGCAGGUUUCAUGAUUUUUAAGGUCCUAACUGGGCCAAUAACUUUACCUGUGCCUCACAGACACCAACACUGUCUGUUUUUCCAGAUGGAAGAAUGCUGCAGUUGCUCACCCAUCACUUACCUUGCCUGCUUUGUAGUUUCUGCCUUCCGGUG